CAGUAGCCACGGGAAUACGAAGGGGGCUAGCGUUGUUCGGAAUCACUGGGCGUAAAGGGUGCGUAGGCGGAUUCUUAAGUCAGGGGUGAAAUCCCGAGGCUCAACCUCGGAACUGCCUUUGAUACUGGGGAUCUUGAGUCCGGAAGAGGUGAGUGGAACUGCGAGUGUAGAGGUGAAAUUCGUAGAUAUUCGCAAGAACACCAGUGGCGAAGGCGGCUCACUGGUCCGGAACUGACGCUGAGGCACGACAGCGUGGGGAGCAAACAGGAUUAGAUACCCGCGUAGUCCCUGUCUCUUAUAC
rnacentral:rRNA from 1 species